CACCGACCGCUCAGGCUGCAGAUUCAGCAAAUGCCUGUCAGCAUCAGCUCCCUCCAGCCCUUCCCCUUCCCUGCAGGUGGGUGCAGCCCCUGCGCUGGUGUGGCUGAUCUCUGAAAUACAUAUUUGCAGGGCUGUUAUCAAGAGAAAAAAGGAGGCUAAAUAUAGCCAUAGUGCACUAGAUUGUAGGUGGCUGCGAGGGAGCCCCCGUGUGAAUGCGAACGGGGGCUGUUAGAGCGAGGAAUCUGUUCCCUGGGUGCAACCGGCUCUGCAGGAGGGAUUGGGGAAGAAAGCGACCACACAUGGAUUCCCAGGGGCUCAGGACCCACCUCUGGGCCCAGAUUUGCUAAAGUGAUCAGCACCCAACGUAUUGAGCUCCGGCAAACCUGGACUGGAGGGCUUGAGUCUGAUCUUACACUGUUGCCAAUUGGAAAUGGAUCCAUUGAAGUCAAUGACCCUGACUCGUAGUUACUCCAGGACAGGACGGGGGCUGCGCGUAACUGACACGGGGCCGUCUGGGUCUGCAGAGAGCCUGAAACAAUAACUCAGAGGUGUGAACUCCCCUCUCCAUUGUGGGGUCCCUUGCUGGUCCCCAUCUCUUGCUUCCAGAGCAGCUAUUGACCCACCAGAACCCGACGGUAUCUGCCUGGCCCUUGCACAGUGUGUGCAGAGACAAGGCCGGCUCCGGGCACCAGCCCAGCAAGCAGCUGCUUAGGACAGCCAACGGUGAGGGGCGGCACGUCCGGGUCUUUGGUGGCAAUUCGGCACCAGGUCUCUCACUCCCUCUCAGAGCGAAGGACCAGCUGCCGAAUUGCCGCCGAAGACUGAAGCAGCGCUGCUUGGGGUGGCAAAAACCCUGGAGCCGGCCCAGUGUAGAGAACCCAGCCUCGACCUGUGUUUGAUUUGUUCUCUGCACAGACGGUUUCGGUGAGCGCGUCUGUUUGCCGGGGAAGGUUGGACGGCAUGUGUUUCUGGCAGCCUCUCGCUCCAUUAUCCUUCCAGUGGAAAUACUAACACGGGCUGGGCAAAUACAGUGUUGGGUGCAGACUCUGGCAUAGUUUUGUCCCUGGAUUUCCCCGCAGGGUGGAAAGGAAAGGAGGCCAGCCUGAUCCGAUGGGAUAUCUGUGGCCAGUUGUAACUGAUUUGACACGGAAUGUUUUCCGCCCCCGGGAGAGCAGAAACUGUUUUUCCUGAUUUCAAAGGCUCAAGGGCUCCCAGCUUCCUGGGUAUUUGCCUGCAUCACAGAACCAGCCCACUGAUUGAUUUGUUUGUGGAUGAUUGACAGCACCUGUUGUGGGGAUGGGGUGGGGAUCCUGGCAGGUCAGCACCAUGCAGAGAACUGACCAUGGCAGGUCAGAAUAACCAGGUCAUGGUUGAGAGGCCUCGGCAGAGAUGUGGGGGACCUCAGGGCUGGGCCAGAUUGGGUCAGUGUGCAGGCGUGUGAGGAGGGACGGGGGCCCAGGCCUGGAAGGGCUCUCGAUCAGAAGUGAAAUGCUUGGCGCUCCAGUACUACCAUAGCCUGUCUCCUUGGGCUGGGGGAGCGGUGAACAGAAGGACUGGAAUAGAAAGCAGCAUUCCAGGGCCGCUCGGAG